CAGCUAAGGUCCCAAAGUCAUGGUUAAGUGGGAAACGAUGUGGGAAGGCCCAGACAGCCAGGAUGUUGGCUUAGAAGCAGCCAUCAUUUAAAGAAAGCGUAAUAGCUCACUGGUCGAGUCGGCCUGCGCGGAAGAUGUAACGGGGCUAAACCAUGCACCGAAGCUGCGGCAGCGACGCUGAUGCGUUGUUGGGUAGGGGAGCGUUCUGUAAGCCUGCGAAGGUGGCCUGUGAGGGU
rnacentral:rRNA from 1 species